UACAGAGGUCUCGAGCGUUGUUCGGAUUCAUUUGGGCGUAAAGGGUGCGUAGGUGGCGCUGUAAGUCGGGUGUGAAAUCCUGGGGCUUAACCCCGGAACUGCAUUCGAUACUGCAGUGCUUGAGGACUGGAGAGGAGACUGGAAUUCAUGGUGUAGCAGUGAAAUGCGUAGAGAUCAUGAGGAAGACCAGUGGCGAAGGCGGGUCUCUGGACAGUUCCUGACACUGAGGCACGAAGGCCAGGGGAGCAAACGGG
rnacentral:rRNA from 1 species